rnacentral:rRNA from 1 species
CGCGUAGGCGGGCUGCCAAGUCCGGGGUGAAAGCCCUCCGCUCAACGGAGGAAUGGCCUUGGAUACUGGCGACCUUGAGGAAGGUAGGGGCGUGCGGAACUCUCGGUGGAGCGGUGAAAUGCGUAGAUAUCGGGAGGAACGCCGGUGGCGAAAGCGGCACGCUGGACCUUUUCUAACGCUGAGGCGCGAAAGCCAGGGGAGCAAACG